GAUGAACGCUGGCGGCGUGCUUAACACAUGCAAGUCGAACGAGAAGUGGAGACGGAAACCUUCGGGCGGAAGACUUUACUUCGAGUGGCGGACGGGUGAGUAACGCGUGGGUAACCUGCCUCAUACAGGGGGAUAACAGUUGGAAACGACUGUUAAUACCGCAUAAGACCACAGCACCGCAUGGUGCGGGGGUAAAAACUCCGGUGGUAUGAGAUGGACCCGCGUUCGAUUAGCCAGUUGGCGGGGUAACGGCCCACCAGAGCGACGAUCGAUAGCCGAUCUGAGAGGAUGACCGGCCACAUUGGGACUGAGACACGGCCCAAACUCCUACGGGAGGCAGCAGUGGGGAAUAUUGCACAAUGGGGGAAACCCUGAUGCAGCGACGCCGCGUGAGUGAAGAAGUAUUUCGGUAUGUAAAGCUCUAUCAGCAGGGAAGAAAAUGACAGUACCUGAGUAAGAAGCCCCGGCUAACUACGUG
rnacentral:rRNA from 1 species